AGGAUCAUAGCUCAGUUGGUUAGAGCGCCACGUUGACAUCGUGGAGGUCGGCGGUUCAAAUCCGCCUGAUCCUACCA
rnacentral:tRNA from 1 species